CCCUUAGAUGUUCUGGGCUGCACGCGUGCUACACUGAUAUUGCCAAUAUGUCAUUCUUAUCCGAAAUGGAUUGGGUAAUCAAGUAAUGAAAUUUCAUGCUUGGAAUCGGUAAUUGCAAUUUUAUCGUGAACGAGGAAUUCCUAGUAGACGUAGUUCAUCAGACUGCAUCGAUUACGUCCCUGCCCUUUGUACACACCGCCCGUCGCUCCUACCGAUUGAAUGCUCAGGUGAGCCAUUCGGACUUUCAUCAUGCUGGUUUCCAGUUUUGAUGAAGGAAAGUCUUGCGAACCUUAUCAUUUAGAGGAAGGAGAAGUCGUAACA
rnacentral:rRNA from 1 species